rnacentral:rRNA from 1 species
GAUGAACGCUGGCGGCGUGCCUAAUACAUGCAAGUCGAGCGAACAGACGAGGAGCUUGCUCCUCUGACGUUAGCGGCGGACGGGUGAGUAACACGUGGAUAACCUACCUAUAAGACUGGGAUAACUUCGGGAAACCGGAGCUAAUACCGGAUAAUAUAUUGAACCGCAUGGUUCAAUAGUGAAAGACGGUUUUGCUGUCACUUAUAGAUGGAUCCGCGCUGCAUUAGCUAGUUGGUAAGGUAACGGCUUACCAAGGCAACGAUGCGUAGCCGACCUGAGAGGGUGAUCGGCCACACUGGAACUGAGACACGGUCCAGACUCCUACGGGAGGCAGCAGUAGGGAAUCUUCCGCAAUGGGCGAAAGCUUGACGGAGCAACGCCGCGUGAGUGAUGAAGGUCUUCGGAUCGUAAAACUCUGUUAUUAGGGAAGAACAAAUGUGUAGGUAACUAUGCACGUCUUGACGGUACCUAAUCAGAAAGCCACGGCUAACUACGUG